GCUUAUAUUCACCUUAGAUGGAUCAGCGAUGGGUUUAUGACGGCCAACACAACUACCACUUUCCGUGUUUUCGCAGGAAUUUCUGGACUCGUGAUUGUUGUGUUCAUUGCUUCGGUUUCUGUCGCAGCGGUAAAAUAUUGCCGAUCCCGGGAGUCCAAAUGCAUUUCCAAAUCAAAACAACCACAAUCAUCACUGAUUUGUGUCAAUUACAAGAAAGCAGUAAGAAAAUACAUUGAACGAGGUAAAAUGACACACGCUAUUAAGAGAGUGAAAAUUUACAAAUCAAAUAUAACAGAUUUACGAGACGAAUUUUCACACGUUCUACAACAUGUAUGGAAAGAACAUGCACACUUAAUAGGACAAGGAAAAGAUGCUAAAGGGCUUGCACAUUCCUACAUGGAUAUUCAAAGUAUUAGAAAUGUUAACAAUCAAAACGUUUUGUUUAGAUACUGUUGUCGAAGACAGGCAAACUGUGAAUUUACUGAAUCAGUAGGUGGUACUUUAAAAAAUCUUCAUGAAUACAAAAACGGAGGUGGCUUGGUUUUUCUAACACAAAGUAUUGACGCUGACGGUGUUUUUCAAAGAAAUCGUACUUUUUCAAGAGAGCAGUGGUCUAACAAUUUUGACAAAAGAAUCAAUGAAUAUUACCUCUUCUACGGGACAAUCUCUUUAAACGCAGAAUCCAUUGCAAUUUAGGGAUUUGACGUGAAUAAAUGCAAAGUUCCUUCAAUGCUCGGGAGAGGGAUUUAUUUCACAGAUAGCCUCGUGAAAGCCGAUCAGUACACACAACCAGAUGAUAGCGAGAUGUGCUGCGUGAUAAUGGCACGAGUUCUUCUCGGAGACUUUGAAGUUGCCCCGAGUCGUUCUGGUAUUCCGUCUACAAGCCAUCAGCCGCCAUGCAAGAAAUGCAUGACCACCUUAUGUAGUAACAAGUCAGACAAUCAACAUCCGAGAUUUGAUUCAGUCGUCUUCACUGGUGGAUUGUAUAAGGAAUCUGUUAUCUAUGAUAAUUUGGCAAGCUUAUCCAGAAUUUAUCAUUCUCUAUAAACGUUUGUAAAAGCAAUUAAGGUCAAACUUAAUAAAGAUUUGUUUGGAUUUUUUCGUUCAUUGAAAGAGGGAAACACGUAAAAUAAAGUGUCUGACAUUUUA